GAUGGCGGCCGUGGACCUGGUUGCCGAGUUUCCCCAGCCCGCCGGUGCUGCGCGCUGGGCAGAGGUUAUGGCUCGCUUCGCCGCCCGGUUGGGCGCGCAGGGCCGACGGGUGGUGUUGGUCACUUCUGGCGGCACGAAGGUCCCUCUGGAAGCCCGGCCUGUGCGCUUCCUGGACAACUUCAGCAGUGGGCGGCGCGGUGCUGGCUCGGCCGAAGCCUUCUUGGCCGCGGGCUACGGGGUCUUGUUCCUGUACCGCGCGCGCUCUGCCUUCCCCUUUGCCCACCGCUUCCCGCCCCAGACCUGGCUGUCUGUUCUGCGGCCCUCCGGCCAAGCGCCUUCGGGCUUGCUGAGCCUGGAGGCCGAAGAAAAAGCACUCCCGGGCUUCGCCGCAGCUCUGCAGAGUUACCAGGAGGCUGAGGCUGCCGGCACUUUUCUAGCCAUAGAGUUCACCACUUUGGCAGACUAUUUGCAUUUGCUGCAGGCUGCAGCCCAGGCUCUCAACCCACUAGGUUCUUCUGCGAUGUUUUACCUGGCUGCGGCCGUGUCAGAUUUCUAUGUUCCUGCCUCUGAAAUGCCUGAACACAAGAUCCAGUCAUCUGGGGGCCCACUGCAGGUGAUGGGCGCUUCUCUUCCAGAGAUCUGAUUUCCUAUAACCAAUCUUGGGUUAAUUUCCUUUUGAUCUGGAGAUGGCCUUUCUGCAUUCCGUAUGUGCUAGGCACUAGGGAUACAGAGAUGAAUAAGACACCGCCCUCCCUCAAGAAUCUCACAAUCUGUUGAGGUUGCUGGACACAGACAUAAUUACAGUACAGAGUGAUAAAUGCUCUAGUAGAGAUAACAAUGAAGAUGGUGCCAAAAAUGCUUUCUCCUUUGGUUAAAGACUGGGCUCCCAAAGCAUUUAUAAUUUCCUUUAAGUUGGAGACUGACCCCUCCAUCAUAAUUGAUCGUGCACGGAAUGCUUUAGAAGUUUAUCGACAUCAAGUGGUGGUGGCUAAUAUCCUUGAUUCACGACGAUCUUCUGUGGUUAUUAUAACCAAAGACUCAGAGACCAAGUUACUGUUAUCAGAGGAAGAAGUAGAAAAAGGCAUAGAGAUAGAAGAGAAGAUAGUGGAUGAUCUUCAGUCUCGACAUACUGCUUUUAUACAUGACAAAAACUGAGGUAAAAAGCCUUUAUUUAUAGGAUCAAAAAUUGUUCAGUGGACCAGGGCCCUCAUAGGUGGCGAGAAGUAGAAUAAAUCCUUUGCUUUCAUAAAGACAGAAAAUGAAGGGGAAAAGCAGUGAGUGGUGGGCAGACUAAUGUGGCUCGGCAUCUGUCUUUUAAAAACCUUUCAGUACUCAAAAAAUGAAAGCAAAGGCAAAUCUGUUACGACCGAACCACCUGACAAACUCACCUGAAUGUUAUCUUGAUUUUGAGAAUGACUAGCUGUUUCUCAGCUUAAAAAAAAAAAAAAGCUUAUUGGGUAUCAUAUUCCUCAAAAUAUACUUGUGGGGCCUGAAUAUCAGCCUUCUUCACACUAUAAAAAGGAUGAUGGAUGCCUGAAUGGCCAUGCUUAUUUUGUUGAUACUUACUAUGUGGUAGGCCCUGAGGAUUUUGAAGAUUCGAAGGUGAAUUGUUGUUCAGUCGCUAAGUCGUGUCCAGCUCUGUGACCCCAUGGACUACAGCAUGCCAGGCUCCCCUGUUCUUCACUAUCUUCCAGAGUUAGCUCAAAAAGAUGAAUAAACAUGUCUAGUUUGGGAAAUGGGUAUGUAAAAAUUAAGUACAAUAAAGUAUGUGCCCCAAAAUCAAUAAAUGAUGUUGUUUUUUGGAAAUUUAGUAAAAACGGGUGUAGGAGAGAAGGACACCUCCCCAAAGAUAGAUUAGCUGUAGAUUGAUGAUUAUCCCACUACAUUUACUUCUUGCUUCUUGUUCUAGACUCACUUCAUAUUUGAGUUAAGAAUUUACCUUUGAAAUAUUUUAUAACUGCUCUUGUGGGAAAGUUAAGCUGGAGGCCAGGCGGGACACAGCUGGUGACCACUGACGUGAAGGAGAUAAAGAGUAUGGGUUUUGGAGUUGUCUUAGCCAUUUCACCCUUCCAGCUGUGCCACCUAUUCACUUUGUAAACUUAGAUACCUGACUUAAUCUGAAGUUUCCUCAUCUAUAAAAAGGUGGUAAUUUUUCUGCAAAGUAACACCAUUUGUUGUGGGGAUUAAAUAAAUAAAAUGGUGCCGGUAAAGCAUGAGCCUGGCAUUUGACACAUAAUUUGCACAGUAAAUGGUUGCAAUUGCUAAUUUUCUCACUUAGCAAGGCAGUGUUACUGCUGGUGCCCUGCUUGAUUCCUGAAUCCUUGAGAAGUUUUCAAAGCUCUCACUGUCCUGAGCUUUGGGUUGGGAGUGCAAAAUAAGUAGACCAGAGAAGUACCCUCAGUGAUCCAUAGGAUGGUCCAGAAUGCAGUGUGAAAAACUGUCAUUAAGAACUAGGUAUAAAAAAGUACUUGACAUAAAUGAGUUAAAAUGCAAUUCAUGGAGUGUGUUGGGAAGAGUAGUCCAAUGUAUCUGUCUGAUAAUAGAAGUAUAAUAAACUUUGAGAUGUGCACAUAAGUGCCAAGAUACACCUAAAUAUGUCAUCAGAUCAGGAAAUGUGACUUCAUUAAAUCAGGAAACAGGAGAAGUAACUGCAGCAAUCAGGACUUCUCUGGAAGCAGCAAUCCCAUUGAACAAAAAUCUUAAAUUAAUUUCUGAUCCAAAUAGCAAAAUCUAAAAAACAACAUACUGUAGACAGUGACUGCAAUACUAAAGGAGCAUGAAGUAAAAGAUUGACUUCUUCCCUCCUCUACAUCUGUAGGUUCAUGUGGAUGAUGGCUGUCAUUAUCUUUGAAUGUAUAAUGAGAAUAAAUGGAGCUAGAACUAAAAGUGA